rnacentral:rRNA from 1 species
GACGAACGCUGGCGGCGUGCCUAAUACAUGCAAGUAGAACGCUGAAGGAGGAGCUUGCUUCUCUGGAUGAGUUGCGAACGGGUGAGUAACGCGUAGGUAACCUGCCUGGUAGCGGGGGAUAACUAUUGGAAACGAUAGCUAAUACCGCAUAAGAGUAGAUGUUGCAUGACAUUUGCUUAAAAGGUGCAAUUGCAUCACUACCAGAUGGACCUGCGUUGUAUUAGCUAGUUGGUGGGGUAACGGCUCACCAAGGCGACGAUACAUAGCCGACCUGAGAGGGGGAGGGGCCAGACUGGGACAGAGACACGGAACAGACGACUAAGGGAGGCAGCAGUAGGGAAGAGUAGGAAAUGGACGUAAGUCUGAAAGAGAAACGAGGAGGGAGAGAAGAAGGGUGUAGGAUAGAAAAGCUCGGUUGUAAGAGAAGAAAGAGGGAGAGAGUGGAAAGUUCACACUGUGACGGUAUCUUACCAGAAAGGGACGGCUAACUACGUG